UACGUAGGGGGCAAGCGUUGUCCGGAUUUAUUGGGCGUAAAGAGCGUGUAGGCGGCUGGAUAGGUCCGUUGUGAAAACUGGAGGCUUAACCUCCAGCGGUCGAUGGAAACCAUCUGGCUAGAGUCCGGAAGAGGAGAGUGGAAUUCCUGGUGUAGCGGUGAAAUGCGUAGAUAUCUGGAGGAACACCGGUGGCGAAGGCGGCAUCCUGGACCAAUUCUGACACUGAGGAGCGAAAGCCAGGGGAGCAAACGGG
rnacentral:rRNA from 1 species